AACAAUGGAUCGGAUGUUAUUUUUCUUAUUCUUUUGUUCCUUCUCGACGUACAUAUAUAAACACAUAAACACACCCAACUCCACCCACACACAAUAUAAUAUAAUACAGGUUGUAUGUACAUUGGGGAGUUCAAUCAUGACAUCAAAACCCUUAGGUGGGGAACAUUCCGAUUAUUAUACACACAAAAGUUCCAAACCUAAAGUUUAUAAGAAUAAGAGAAAUAAGUGGUAACUAGUUAAUGGAUCGUGAAAGGGUUGUGAAAGUAAUACUAGUUAAUUCAGAAUCUUGGCAAAAUCAAGGGACUUCUUUCCUUGGAGCUUGUUGGAGACAUAGUGAUAACUGUAGUCACCAUGAUUGUAACUUCUAUACUUGCAUGGGUUGGUUUCAUCAUCAACCAACUCACCCAUUGGUUCUAUUUCAACCUCAUAGUUUGGUGCAUAGAAUGUCACUAUUGUAAGCCUCUCCAUUUCCCUGUUUGUCACUGCCCUAUGCUCCACACUCUUGUACUUCCCAUUAGUUAGCACCUAUACGCACAUAUACAGAAUUAUGUAUAAUUAAUAAUUUUGGUGAUCAAUAAAUUAACUCUGAUUACAGCCGAUAGGGUUUAUCAAAAAAAAAAAAAAUGGCAAUAACUCAUAGAUUGUUAAUAUAAUAAUAAAUAAAAUAACAGUAGAAAAAGAAAUAUAAUAAUAUUUUACCAUUUUUGAAAUAUUAUUUAAUUCUAUUUUUAUAAUUAUGUAAAAAUUGCUACUAAAAAAAUUCAAAAUUUUAUGCAUAUUUUUUAAAAGACUGUAAUUUUCUAAUCCUAAUAUCAUUAUUUUUUUUAAUACUACAAAUUUUUAAAAUAUUAUUUAGUUUUAUGUUUUGAUAGUUACAUACCUAACAAAAAAAUUUCUUUAAUUUUAUAGUAUUUUAUUUAAUAUAUUUUAGUCAAAAAAUACAUAAAAAUAAUUCCAAUAUUAUAAUAUUAAAUAUAUACAUAUAUAUUAUUAAAUAUAAAUAAAAAUAAAAAAUUACUUAUUUUAUUUUAUUUUUUACAUAUAAUUAAAUUAAAAGUAUAAAAUUAAAUAUUAUAAGCAAAUAAUAAAAUAUGAAAAGUAACAAAUUUUUAUUUUAAAAUUUUUACUUUCAUAUGAUGCAAGAAAACACCUAGUUGUAAUGUAAAAUUAUUACUGAGCCAUUAUUAACGAAUAGUAAUAAAAAUUAGUUUGUGUAUUUUGUUCUUUGACAUAUAAUGGAGCCUUUUGUCGUUUGGUAAAACAAGUUACAUAAUAAUAGAGCCUAUUGUCUUUAUUUGUCUCGUUUCUUCUGAAUUUUUCUUCCAAAUUGCUCGAAUAAAUCUUUGAGCAUGCUAAUUCAAAUCCCGUGAAGAAAACGAUUAUUUAGAUACCAACUUAGGAAGAUUCUUUUAUUUUUCUCAACACUAGGAAGAUUAUUUUUUGAAUAUAUAUGCUUAAUGAUACAAACUAAAGAAAAUUGCAUUGUAUGCACAAAUAUAAUCAACAAAACAAUGGAUCGGAUGUUAUUUUUCUUAUUCUUUUGUUCCUUCUCGACGUACAUAUAUAAACACAUAAACACACCCAACUCCACCCACACACAAUAUAAUAUAAUACAGGUUGUAUGUACAUUGGGGAGUUCAAUCAUGACAUCAAAACCCUUAGGUGGGGAACAUUCCGAUUAUUAUACACACAAAAGUUCCAAACCUAAAGUUUAUAAGAAUAAGAGAAAUAAGUGGUAACUAGUUAAUGGAU
rnacentral:lncRNA from 1 species